rnacentral:rRNA from 1 species
AUACGGAGGGUGCAAGCGUUGUCCGGAUUUAUUGGGUUUAAAGGGUGUGUAGGCGGUGUAUUAAGUCAGUGGUGAAAGCCUGCGGCUCAACCGUAGAACUGCCAUUAAUACUGACACACUUGAGUAUGGACGAGGUAGGCGGAAUUUAUGGUGUAGCGGUGAAAUGCAUAGAUACCAUAAAGAACACCGAUAGCGAAGGCAGCUUACUAGGCCAUAACUGACGCUGAGGCACGAAAGCGUGGGGAGCGAACAGGAUUAGAAACCCCAGUAGUCC